GGCGGGGAGCAGUUAGCUGGUAUCAGCAACCGCACCAAGCCUAGCAAAGAGAACAGUGUGGAGGUAUUCGCAGUCAUCCCAAAGAGCAUUAUCACCGCUUUCUUCAGAGGCUUAUCCUGCCUGUCUGACCUUAGAUCUCACCCCCUCUACUCUGUCUGUCCUGCUCAUGCAUCUGCCUCAUGAGGACAGAACUUGUCUGGUGUCUCCUCUAUGACCACAGUGCCUCAGUGCCUGACACACCAAAGGUUAAGCACCUUGUCCCAGGCUGCCUGGUUCACUAAAAACAACAAAAUCCAGUGGGCACAUGCUACACACCUGAUACCAGCCUGGAUGCUGGUGGAGAGCAAGACAAAACAGGACUCUGCCCUUGGAACCUGAAGUUGGAGGUGAGCAGAGAGAAAGUCAAGUAUUUCAACAAAAAGCAGAUUAUCACUGCCGCAGAGCUAGGACUGGAAUCUGACUGUCACGCCUUCUAGUGAGAUUUCCUUUCCAAGCCCAAGGGUGCUGCCUUCUCCACCUAAAGGGACAUUUCAGCUGGGGAAACAGUCAAGUAAGUGUUUGAAGUUUGGCCUUAGUCUCUUCCAAGGGUCCCACACUCCUGCCAUCCUUUUAAUAGACUCCUAAGAAGCAGGAACACCCGUUGUAGCUCUAAGUAUUUAACCUUAAGAGCUCAUGCUGACUCCAAUCCUUCUACAUAAGACAGAGGAGCAAUUCCGGAUUUAGGUGGGAAUUAGGUGGGAAACAGAAAGCAGUGCAAACCAGGGGUCAGAUACUCUGGGUUCAAAUCCCUUCUAACCUCAGGCAGGUUACUCAGUCUCUUGUGAUUUGAUUUCCUAUUGCUGAAGUGGAAACACUAAUGCCUCUGUCACUGGUUGUUGCAAAGAUGAAAUUAAAAUGAUACCUACAGAGCACUCAGCACUGUGCCUGGAACUCAGUGAGAUUUCACCAAACAGAGGCUGCAAACCUGUUCCACCUGUUGCUUUAAUGACUCCAUCUCUACCUGAUAUAUUUGUGAAAAGUGAGCCAAAAACUACUCGGAAUUCAAACCCAAGGACAUACACUCAAAGUGUUCAAAACAUAAACUGCUAUCUAGUUGAGUGACUUGAGGAACUGUCUCAAAUUCCCAUACUUGGGCAGACUCUGCGGCUGGCCAUCUCUGCCUAGAAAAUACUGCUCAUCCUUCAAAUCCACCAGACAGUCUCUCCCUGGAAGCCACCCCGGUGUCCCAGACAGGCCAAGCACCCCUCCUGUCAGCUCCCGGGAACUCUGCUGAAUGGAAAGGAAUCUGGGGCCUUGACAGAGACACAAGAUAGAAGGAGUGUGGGUCCCUCAACAACCAUCAGGAAGGAUGCCUGCUAACCAGGAGCAGCCCCACUGGAACUUUUCUCUCUGAGAAAUAAAAGUUUUCUUGAGUUGACUCACUG
ensembl:lncRNA